AAGGUGUUGCAAUUGUUGUCUAAUUCUUGGGGUGCCUCUAACAUUACAGUUAUACACUAUGUCUCUCAGUAGAGUAGUAUUACAUCGAAAAGUCUUGUUGAAUACUCUUGCAUUCCUUUCCAGCCAGAUAGCAUAUGCAACUUCAUCUGUGACCAUUUUAAAAAUGGUUGCACGACCUGUUCGUCCCUUGGCUUUGGUAAUCAACCGUUGUACUUUCUGGUUCCAACUG
rnacentral:lncRNA from 1 species